rnacentral:lncRNA from 1 species
AGUGUGAUACUGUAGUAGUAGAUUAUAACACUAUGUAUUUAUCAUAACCCAUAGAACUGUAGAGCAAAUUUAAUCAGGAGACCCUGUAAUGGAAUGUAGACUUAACAAUAACUCUAACUGUAUUACACAUGCAUAACAACCUGAAUUAAGAGGUUAAAGCAAGAAAGGACGGCUGAUCUAAGUCCCUUUUGAAAUGCGCGGACACCGUGGAACUAAAGAUACAGAAAAAUUUCGGACAAAACAAUUAUUUGAGUAUGACUGUGCUUCUCCCUCUGGAACAGCGUCCAAGGUUGCACACUAGGAAUGCAGGCUGCUAUCUGCACGUCUCUGGCAGGGCAGAAUGGUUGACUGAAUAUUUUAAGCCUCUGUUGAGACCAAAACCUCAGAAGAUUUCUUCAAAAUACUACUGCUCAUUGACAGUACACUUGUCACACAACGGGCUGUGAUGGAAAUGUACAAAGAAAUUUAUAUUGUUUUCAUCCUUGCUAACACAAAAUACAUUCUGAUCCCCAUGGAGCCAGGAGAAAUCUCGACUUUCAAGUUUUUUUUAUUUAAGAAAUAUAUUUCAUAAGACUAUAGUUGCCAUAGAUAGUAAUUUGUCUGAUGGACCUGGGAAAACUAAAUUGAAAACCGUCUGCAACAGUUUCACUGUUAAAGAGGCCAUUGAAAACAUUUAGGAUACCUGUAUGAGGUCAAGAUAUUAACAUUAAUAUGAGUUUGAAAGAAGCGGAUUUUAAUCUUCGUGAAUGAUUUGAGGAGUUUAAGACUUUAUUAGAGGAAAUAAUUGCAAAUGUGGUGGCAAGAGAACUGGAAUUAGAAGUGGAGCCUCAAGAUGUGACUGAAUUGCUGCAAUCCAUGAUCGGACUUGAACAGAUGAGGAGUUGCUUCUUAUGCAUAAGCAAAGAAAUUAGUUUCUUGAAAUGGACUCUGUUCCUG